rnacentral:rRNA from 1 species
AUAAUACUAACGGCGUAAAGCACGACUAAUAUACACGUCUAAAUAUUUAGGAAAGAAACUAAGCUGGGCCGUAAAAAGCCAUAAGCCACACUAACUACACCUAAUAAUAAACAACUACCACUCGUGAAAGCUAGGACACAAACUAAGAUUAGAUACCUUACUAUGCCUAGCCAUAACACAACAAUUAAAUUACCAAUUGUUCGCCAAAUAACUACGAGUAAGAACUUAAAAUUUAAAAGACUUGACGGUACCUCAAAACAACCUAGAGGAGCCUGUCCAAUAACCGAUACCCCACGAUCAACCCAACCCACUCUAGCCCACAGUCUAUAUACCGCCGUCGCCAGCCUACCUUGUGAAAGAAACAAAGUAAGCCAAAUAGCUAUACACUAACACGACAGGUCGAGGUGUAACUUAUGAGUGGGAAAAGAUGGGCUACAUUUUCUAAUACAGAAAACACGAAUGAAUCCAUGAAACAAGAAACUGAAGGCGGAUUUAGCAGUACAGCGGGAACAACAUACCCUAUUGAAACUAGCGCAAUGAGGUGCGUACACACCGCCCGUCAUCCCUGUUAAUAAACCAAUAACAUACAUAAU